UACGUAGGGGGCAAGCGUUGUCCGGAAUCAUUGGGCGUAAAGCGCGCGUAGGCGGCCCCAUAAGUCCGCUGUGAAAGUCAAAGGCUCAACCUUUGAAAGCCGGUGGAUACUGUGGGGCUAGAGUACGGAAGAGGCGAGUGGAAUUCCUGGUGUAGCGGUGGAAUGCGUAGAUAUCAGGAGGAACACCAAUAGCGAAGGCAGCUCGCUGGGACGUUACUGACGCUGAGGCGCGAAAGCGUGGGGAGCGAACAGG
rnacentral:rRNA from 1 species